GGCUCCAUAGUGUAGUGGUUAGAACGUCUGCUUUAUACGCAGAAGGUCCUGGGUUUGUGCCCAGGUGGAGCCA
rnacentral:tRNA from 1 species